rnacentral:rRNA from 1 species
AACGAACGCUGGCGGCAUGCCUAACACAUGCAAGUCGAACGAGACCUUCGGGUCUAGUGGCGCACGGGUGCGUAACGCGUGGGAACCUGCCCUUAGGUUCGGAAUAACUCACCGAAAGGGGUGCUAAUACCGGAUAAUGUCUUCGGACCAAAGAUUUAUCGCCUUUGGAUGGGCCCGCGUUGGAUUAGCUAGUUGGUAGGGUAAAAGCCUACCAAGGCGACGAUCCAUAGCUGGUCUGAGAGGAUGAUCCGCCACACUGGGACUGAGACACGGCCCAGACUCCUACGCGAGGCAGCAGUGGGGAAUAUUGGACAAUGGGCGAAAGCCUGAUCCAGCAAUGCCGCGUGAGUGAUGAAGGCCUUAGGGUUGUAAAGCUCUUUUACCCGGGAUGAUAAUGACAGUACCGGGAGAAUAAGCACCGGCUAACUCCGUG